UGAGGAAUAUUGGUCAAUGGGCGAGAGCCUGAACCAGCCAAGUAGCGUGCAGGACGACGGCCCUAUGGGUUGUAGACUGCUUUUAUGUGGGGAUAAAGUGCGUGACGUGUCAUGCAUUGCAGGUACCACAUGAAUAAGGACCGGCUAAUUCCGUGCCAGCAGCCGCGGUAAUACGGAAGGUCCGGGCGUUAUCCGGAUUUAUUGGGUUUAAAGGGAGCGUAGGCUGUCUAUUAAGCGUGUUGUGAAAUAUACCGGCUCAACCGGUGGCUUGCAGCGCGAACUGGUCGACUUGAGUAUGCAGGAAGUAGGCGGAAUUCAUGGUGUAGCGAUGAAAUGCUUAGAUAUCAUGACGAACUCCGAUUGCGCAGGCAGCUUACUGUAGCAUAACUGACGCUGAUGCUCGAAAGUGCGGGUAUCAAACAGG
rnacentral:rRNA from 1 species